rnacentral:rRNA from 1 species
UGGGGAAUAUUGGACAAUGGGCGAAAGCCUGAUCCAGCAAUACCGCGUGAGUGAUGAAGGUCUUCGGAUUGUAAAGCUCUUUUAGUAGGGAAGAUAAUGACGGUACCUACAGAAAAAGCACCGGCAAACUUCGUGCCAGCAGCCGCGGUAAUACGAAGGGUGCUAGCGUUGUUCGGAAUUAUUGGGCGUAAAGCGUACGUAGGCGGUUAAGUAAGUCGAUUGUGAAAGCCCCGAGCUCAACUUGGGAAUUGCAACCGAAACUGCUUAGCUUGAGUUUGGUGGGGGAUGAUGGAAUUCCUAGUGUAGGAGUGAAAUCCGUAGAGAUUAGGAGGAACACCGGUGGCGAAAGCGAUCAUCUACGCCAAUACUGACGCUAAGGUACGAAAGCGUGGGGAGCAAACAGG